rnacentral:ncRNA from 1 species
AAAAUUGGCAUAAAAAAGAAUAGUAUUCAGGUAAGUUUUUCAGAGAGUAAUCGGUUGGUGCGAGAUUAUAUAUGAACUGAAGAAUCCACUUUUUGCCACAUCAGGAAAGGUAUAAUAAUUUUUAAAAAAACUGAGCAUAAGAAUAUUCAUUAACUGAUGCGUAUAUUCUGCGUUAAAGGAUUUGAGAUUGAAGUAAGAAUGUUUAUUUAAUUCAUUUACUCCACAUUUUACUUCAAUGAACUUGGGUGGCACCACGAAUAUUUCGUCCCUCGG